GAGAGCACGACAUUGCUCACAUUGCUUCCAGUAUUAUUUUAGCCAGCCUACGUGCUGGCUUUUUUUU
rnacentral:antisense_RNA from 22 species